AACCAUAGAAACCUGCGGAGUACCUGCGGAGGGAUCAUUAAUAAAUGUUACUUCGGUAACUUAAUUAAUCCCUAACACCUGUGCAUCUUGUCGCUUCGGCGUCAUUUUAUAAACAUCAGUGUAAUGAAUGUAACGUAUUAUAACAAAUACAACUUUCAACAACGGAUCU
rnacentral:misc_RNA from 1 species